UUUUGAGUAGACGUUCAAUGAACGCAAACCUAAUAUGAAAAGUCUUCACUUUAUCAUUACGCUAUUUGCGUUAAUCUCCAUGACGGUCGGUAGUAAUGUAUUGAAUAACGUGAUAUUUGAGAUGCGAAAUGUGGAAAGCCAAGCAUGUUCAGUUGAAUCUUUCGAGGCGAGAAACUUAGUCUGCAAUGUACCAAUAGAAGAUGGAUUCAUUCAAAAUAAUGGAACUUGUGAUUUGUCCCGUAGUGAUGAAAUCAUUAAAACUAUGUACUGUUACCAUGGUUAUUUGUAUAUAUCAUACACGAAACA